rnacentral:rRNA from 1 species
UACGUAGGGGGCUAGCGUUGUCCGGAUUUAUUGGGCGUAAAGAGCGUGUAGGCGGCCACGUUAGUCCGUUCUGAAAGCCCGGGGCUCAACCCCGGGAGGCGGAUGGAUACUGCGUGGCUCGAGUCCGGAAGAGGCGAGUGGAAUUCCUGGUGUAGCGGUGAAAUGCGCAGAUAUCAGGAGGAACACCAAUGGCGAAGGCAGCUCGCUGGGACGUGACUGACGCUGAGACGCGAAAGCGUGGGGAGCAAACAGG